rnacentral:lncRNA from 10 species
CUUAAAGCUAUUUUUCUUGGAAGGAGGAGUUGGGGAGAGUAAAACAAAACACUAGGAAGCAGUUCAGCAUGACUCUAGGCAAGCACUGAUGAGAGGCCACUAAAGCUGUGUAUGUUGGAUUGUUUGGGAGUUUUUAAGCCUUAGGAAACAGUGCUGUAGUUUUAGAGACAGUGGCCUUGGCCCUGAGACUCUAGGCAGUUCCUUCUGGCUCUGAGCAGUCAAGGCUUAUCUGGGAAGAUUCCAUCCUUUCCUUCCAGACUAAGAAGGUAUUAUUUACCGACAGUGGUCUUUGUUAAAUGUGAAUGAUUUCUUGUCCUUUGCCCUGGAAACAGAACACAAGCUUUCCAGUGCUGAAGCAGAGUGUGAAUCCAGACUUCAGUGCUUAUUGGUUAAGUGACCCUGAGAAAGUUAACCUCUCAGAACUUCAGAGUCUUCAUCACAGUAUGUUUCCAGUGCAUGUAGAAAGGCUCAGUGUUGUUGCUGUACUAGUCCUGGGUUGAGCCAGCUUCAUGGGUGUGUGACUUGUAUAGUCAGAAGGACCCUGCACUUCAUUUAAUAUUCUGUUGUUGUCAUCUUGAGAUUCUUAGCAAUUUUUUAACAAGGGGCCCUACAAAUUGGGUAGUUAGUCCUGCUGCCAGGGAAAGAUACUUUCUUUUUAUCCAGGCCCCCGGUCCUGGAGUCUCAAGACCUCUCUGAGGAAUUCCAGUAGAAGUGGACAUACAUUAGUAACUAAAUUUAUUUAUUAUUUCUGGUCAUAUUCAUGUAUAUCCCACAAGAUUUUCCAUGCACACACUUAAAUUCUGUCUAAAUAAAAAUGGCUUACUUCAUCCUUGUAAUAUUUAUUUUUUUUCUUUCUUUUUUUUUUGAGACAGAGUUUCACUCUAUCGCCCAGGCUGGAGUGCGAUCUCGGCUCUGCAACCUCCGCCUCCCGGGUUCAAGCAAUUCUCCUGCCUCAGCCUCCCGAGUAGCUGGGACUACAGGCGCACACCACCAUGCUUGGCUAAUUUUUGUAUUUUUUGGUGGAGUCGCAGUUUCACCAUGCUGCCCAAGCUGGUCUUGAACUCCUGACCUCAAGUGAUUCACCCACCUUGGCCUCCCAGAGUGCUGGGAUUACAGGCAUGAGCCACUGUGCCUGGCCCUUAUCUGAGGAAUUUAGAAGGGAGCAAAGACCACCUGGUAACCAUCCAACAGGCCAUCCAGAGGCAAAACUCCUUAUCUGGGGAAAUUAGAAGUAAUUAAACUUCCCUAGUAUCUAAAGUGGGCAUCUGGUUCCAGGCCUCUUUCAACUUUUAUAAGUAACUAAAAUUUCUAGGCAUCUCUGGAAUGUCAUGCUGAAACUAAUUUUACAACCCUAAGCUCCUGCCUGAAGGUCCAUAAAUGCACCUAAGGAAAAUCCACCAAGGCCCUCAGUCCUCUCGCUGGGGUGCCCCGCUGCACUCUUCUGCAGCGUUCUUUCUUUCUAAGAAAUUUUCCUUUUUCAAACCUAUACUGUUGUCAGUAAAUUUUUUGCCAACCUGUGAGGCGACCACUUCCUGGUGCUGGGGCUCAGACACCUCACCAGGCAUUUUGUGUUCUAGUGUUCUGCGUUUCCUCUUUGGCAAUUAAGCUCACACACACACACACUCAACUGUCCCAAAGAAGAGAGUCACCUGAUUCUAGUUAUUCCGAGGGCUGUGUAAGCACUGAUACACACACACACUGUCACACUUACACACAUGCAACUGUCCCAAAGAAGAGAGUCACCUGAUUCUAGUUAUUCCAAGGGUUGAGUAAGACGUUAGUCAAUCUCUAGGGAAGCCCUGCUGCUGGGCACUGGAGCUCAGAAAUUUAUCUCAAAGAAUUAGAAUUCAUAAGGAGCUCUGUGUUUUGGAAAGAGGACACAUUGUUUAGGACAGUUUCCAUUCCAAUUGUGCAGCAUGAAAUAGAAAAAUUUAA